rnacentral:rRNA from 1 species
GAUGAACGCUAGCGGCAGGCUUAAUACAUGCAAGUCGAGGGGCAGCAGCUCUGUAGCAAUACAGAGGCUGGCGGCCGGCAAACGGGUGCGGAACACGUACGCAACUUACCCAUAACUGGUGAAUAGCCCUCCGAAAGGAGGAUUAAUACAUCGUAACAUAAUGAGAUGGCAUCAUUUUAUUAUUAUAGCUCUCGGGGCGGUUAUGGAUGGGCGUGCGGCUGAUUAGGUAGUUGGCGGAGUAAUAGCCCACCAAGCCAACGAUCAGUAACUGGUGUGAGAGCACGACCAGUCACACGGGCACUGAGACACGGGCCCGACUCCUACGGGAGCAGCAGUAAGGAAUAUUGGUCAAUGGACGCAAGUCUGAACCAGCCAUGCCGCGUGAA